rnacentral:rRNA from 1 species
CGCCCUUAGAGUUUGAUCAUGGCUCAGAUUGAACGCUGGCGGCAGGCUUAACACAUGCAAGUCGAGCGGUAGGGGAGCUUGCUCCCUACGAGCGGCGGACGGGUGAGUAAUGUCUGGGAAACUGCCUGAUGGAGGGGGAUAACUACUGGAAACGGUAGCUAAUACCGCAUAACGUCGCAAGACCAAAGAGGUUCGUCUUGCCAUCAGAUGUGCCCAGAUGGGAUUAGCUAGUAGGUGGGGUAAUGGCUCACCUAGGCGACGAUCCCUAGCUGGUCUGAGAGGAUGACCAGCCACACUGGAACUGAGACACGGUCCAGACUCCUACGGGAGGCAGCAGUGGGGAAUAUUGCACAAUGGGCGCAAGCCUGAUGCAGCCAUGCCGCGUGUGUGAAGAAGGCCUUCGGGUUGUAAAGCACUUUCAGCGAGGAGGAAGGUGGGUGAGUAAAUUCAUCAAUUGACGUUACUCGCAGAAGAAGCCCGGGCUAACUCCGUGCCAGCAGCCGCGGGAAGACGGAAGGGGCAAGCGUUAAUCGGAA